UAAAAAGGGGGGCUGGGAAGAAGCCAUGCACAGAACUGAGAAGGGAUAAUACUAGAUGGAACACAACAUAGAAAAUGUUAGUGUAAAAAAAGAAAAAAAAUUACCAAAGAUUAAUUGUAAUUCUUUGGGAAUGACAUUCUUUUCCAAUGAUGGUACUUUUAUGUAGAAUUUCAGAUACUACAAAAUGCCAGAGGCAGGUAAGAAAAAAAUGCCACUAGUGAACUAGGCAGGGAGAUGGGUCAUCACAUUCCUAUGGCUCAUUGCCAUGACAACUCCCAACACUAAAGACUUAUCACCAUGGCAACUCCUGCCUCAGGUUUGGCAUUCUAAAACAACCAAGGGGUUUGAACUGGAGAGUAUUCUAAUUAAGUUUUCUGAAGUUACCAAUGGGGAAAAAUUCGGAUGCUAUUUUAAUCAAGAUAACCAAUGGGAGCAAAUGGACUAAGGUUUUAAAUGAGAUGCAGUAGAAGGUUCUCAACCAGAAGAAAUGAAGCAGAGUAGACACAUGGAAAAUCGCUGUCAAGGCCCAUUUACCUGCCUAUUGCCUGCACAUCACCUGCCACUUGCCCUCAUUGAUGGAUCAACACAUGCUAGUCUGGAGACUGCUUGCAGACUGCAGGUGGAUCAUGGAUCACUGCCCUCUGAUGUCUAAGCAUCCAUCCUCAGAUGACAACUUGUUUUUUCCCAACCAGACUUCAAGUGGAACUGACUUCUAAAAGGGAACUCACAUCCCCCACAUCGUCCAGCCCCCUCACAUUUGACACCCUCUUUCAGCUCUGAAGCAGCUAGAAUGAGCCAUCACCCCUUCUCCUUGUUGGGUGCAGAGCAGGCUGAACUGUGUUGUCUGCAGGGCAGGCUGAACAGAUGUUGGCUGCAAGAUAGCCCACGCACUCAAACCCCCCUCUAUCUGGU